UGGGGAAUCUUGCGCAAUGAGCGAAAGCUUGACGCAGCGACGCCGCGUGGGGGAUGAAGGCCCUCGGGUUGUAAACCCCUUUCGGCAGGGACGAAGCGAAAGUGACGGUACCUGCAGAAGAAGCUCCGGCUAACUACGUGCCAGCAGCCGCGGUGAGACGUAGGGAGCGAGCGUUGUCCGGAUUCAUUGGGCGUAAAGCGCGCGUAGGCGGCCCGGUAAGUCGGAUGUGAAAUCCCGGAGCUCAACUCCGGAACUGCACCCGAUACUGCCGGGCUCGAGGUAGGUAGGGGAGAUCGGAAUUCCUGGUGUAGCGGUGGAAUGCGCAGAUAUCAGGAGGAACACCGGUGGCGAAGGCGGAUCUCUGGGCCUUACCUGACGCUGAGGUGCGAAAGCUAGGGGAGCGAACAGG
rnacentral:rRNA from 1 species